UGCCUAAAUAAAAUAUUAAACAGUUGAGUUGAAUCUCUAAAAAAUUCAACUGGUAAAAUAUUCAAAACAAAGUCAUCAGUCAGCUUUUUACCUACCAAGAAUUGUGCUUUCUUGGCUACUAUUUUAAAGGUGCUAAGAAAGGGCACCAUUAGAGCAUACUAUCCAAAUGCAAAGUAUUGUUUGCUAGUGAGCUGGCAAAAUAAUAACAUUAAUAAAAUGAACACAUGAACCAAAACAGA